rfam:Monodelphis domestica chromosome 6, whole genome shotgun sequence.
CCAGCCUUCUUGGAUAGGCCAAAGUGUCCUACAGAAGAACCUUGGGUUACAUCUACAAGGGGCUCUGA